rnacentral:rRNA from 1 species
UGCUGCAUGGCUGUCGUCAGCUCGUGUCGUGAGAUGUUGGGUUAAGUCCCGCAACGAGCGCAACCCUUGUCAUUAAUUGCCAUCAUUUAGUUGGGCACUUUAAUGAGACUGCCGGUGACAAACCGGAGGAAGGUGGGGAUGACGUCAAGUCCUCAUGGCCCUUAUGGGUAGGGCUUCACACGUCAUACAAUGGUCGGUACAGAGGGUUGCCAAGCCGCGAGGUGGAGCCAAUCCCAGAAAGCCGAUCGUAGUCCGGAUCGCAGUCUGCAACUCGACUGCGUGAAGUCGGAAUCGCUAGUAAUCGCGGAUCAGCAUGUCGCGGUGAAUACGUUCCCGGGUCUUGUACACACCGCCCGUCACACCAUGGGAGUGGGUUCUACCAGAAGUAGUUAGCCUAACCGUAAGGAGGGCGAUU